rnacentral:rRNA from 1 species
GCCCAGAAUAGAAUUUUAGUUCAAUUUUAAAUUUACCUAACAACUUUAAAAUUUUAAUGUAAAUUUAAAAUAUACUCUAAAAAGGUACAGCUUUUUAGACAGGGAUACAGCCUUACUUAGAGAGUAAAACAACACACAACCAUAGUAGGCCUAAGAGCAGCCACCAAUUAAGAAAGCGUUCAAGCUCAACAACAAUAUAAUCUUAAUACCAAAAAUCUCUAAUAAACUCCUAAUAUAAUACUGGGCCAAUCUAUUUAAUAAUAGAAGCAAUAAUGCUAAUAUGAGUAACAAGAAAUAUUUCUCCUUGCACAAGCUUAUAGCAGGUAACGAAUGAAUCACUGAUAGUUAACAACAAGAUAAAAAUAACCUAACCAUGAAACAUCUAUCAAGCCCAUUGUUAGUCCAACACAGGAGUGCAACUAAGGAAAGGUUAAAAGAAGUAAAAGGAACUCGGCAAACACAAACCCCGCCUGUUUACCAAAAACAUCACCUCUAGCAUUAACAGUAUUAGAGGCACUGCCUGCCCAGUGACAUUAGUUAAACGGCCGCGGUAUCCUGACCGUGCAAAGGUAGCAUAAUCAUUUGUUCUCUAAAUAGGGACUUGUAUGAAUGGCCACACGAGGGUUUGACUGUCUCUUACUUCCAACCAGUGAAAUUGACCUUCCCGUGAAGAGGCGGGAAUAAGAAAAUAAGACGAGAAGACCCUAUGGAGCUUUAAUUAACUAACCCAAUGAUAGAAUCACAAACCCACCAACAGGUGCCAACACUACUACUAUCAUAUGGGUUAACAAUUUAGGUUGGGGUGACCUCGGAGAAUAAAAUAACCUCCGAGUGAUACAAACCUAGACUAACCAGUCGAAGUCCCAUUAUCACUUAUUGAUCCAAAACAUUUUUGAUCAACGGAACAAGUUACCCUAGGGAUAACAGCGCAAUCCUAUUCAAGAGUCCAUAUCAACAAUAGGGUUUACGACCUCGAUGUUGGAUCAGGACAUCCUAAUGGUGCAGCAGCUAUUAAUGGUUCGUUUGUUCAACGAUUAAAG